GACGAACGCUGGCGGCGUGCCUAAUACAUGCAAGUAGGACGCAGUUGCGAACGGGUGAGUAACGCGUAGGUAACUGCCUCUUUGAGGGGGAUAACUAUUGUAGACGCUAGCUAAUACCGCAUCCUCGUAGAUGGACUUGCUUUGUAUUAGCUAGUAGGUAGGGUAGUGGCCUACCUAGGCGACGAUACAUAGCCGACCUGAGAGGUGGAGCGGCCACACUGGGACUGAGACACGGCCCAGACUCCUACGGGAGGCAGCAGUAGGGAAUCUUCGGGAAUGGGUGGAACCCUGACCGAGCAACGCCGCGGGAGGGAAGAAGGUCUUCGGAUCGUAAAGCUCUGUUGUUAAGGAAGCGGUACGUAACCAGAAAGGGACGGCUAACUACGUGCCAGCAGCCGCGGUAAUAC
rnacentral:rRNA from 1 species